rnacentral:rRNA from 1 species
GCCCCAAAGACUGGGAUAGUCGAGGGAAACCACGGGUAAUACCAGAUGUGGUCCUUAGAUGGCAUCAUCGAGGGAUUAAAUCGAGCAAUCGGCUUUGGGAGCGGCUUAUGUCCUAUCAGCUUGUUGGUGAGGUAACGGCUCACCAAGGCUACGACGGGUAGGGGGUCUGAGAGGAUGAUCCCCCCGAGUGGGACUGCGACACGGCCCACACACCUACGGGUGGCAGCAGUUUGGAAUAUUGCACAAUGGGGGAAACCCUGAUGCAGCGACGCCGCGUGGAGGACGAAGGAUCUAGGUCUGUAAACUCCUUUUGCCAGGAAAGACUUAGGACGGUACCUGGCGAAUAAGCCCCGGCUAACUACGUGCCAGCAGCCGCGGUAAGACGUAGGGGGCGAGCGUUGUCCGGAUUUACUGGGCGUAAAGAGCGCGUAGGCGGCUAGUUAAGUGAGAAGUGAAAUCUCCACGGCUCAACCCGGAAACUGCUUUUCAUACUGGCCAGCUGGAGGGACGCAGGGGUGACUGGAAUUCCCGGUGUAGCGGUGAAAUGCAUUGAUAUCGGGAGGAACUCCAACAGCGAAGGCAGGUCACUGGGCGUUUCCUGACGCUGAGGCGCGAAAGCGUGGGUAGCAAACAGGAUUAGAUACCCUGGUAGUCCACGCCCUAAACGAUGGAUACUAGACGUAAGAGGUAUCGACCCCUCUUGUGUCGCAGCUAACGCAUUAAGUAUCCCGCCUGGGGAGUACGGCCGCAAGGUUUGAAACUCAAAUGAAUUGACGGGGACCCGCACAAGCGGUGGAGCAUGUGGAUUAAUUCGAUACUAACCGAAGAACCUUACCCAGGUUUGACAUCGAUGGUAAGCCCGAGAGAUCGGGCCCUCUCUCACAAGGAGACCUGAAGACAGAUGUUGCAUGGCUGUCGUCAGCUCGUGCCGUGAGGUGUACGGUUAAGUCCGCCAACGAGCGCAACCCUCGUCCUAUGUUGCCAGCGAGUAAUGUCGGGAACUCAUAGGAGACCGCCGGUGUAAGCCGGAGGAAGGUGGGGAUGAUGUCAAGUCAGCAUGGCUCUUACGCCUGGGGCUUCACACAUGCUACAAUGGGCGCAACAAAGGGCACCGAAGCCGUGAGGUGGAGGCAAUCCCAAAAAUACGCCCCCAGUUCAGAUUGCAGU